rnacentral:tRNA from 1 species
UAGCUUAGCUGGUAAAGUAUCUGCCUGCAGUGCAGGAGACCCUGGUUCGAUUCCUGG